GAUGAACGCUGGCGGCGUGCCUAAUACAUGCAAGUCGAGCGAACGGACGAGAAGCUUGCUUCUCUGAUGUUAGCGGCGGACGGGUGAGUAACACGUGGAUAACCUACCUAUAAGACUGGGAUAACUUCGGGAAACCGGAGCUAAUACCGGAUGAUAUUUUGAACCGCAUGGUUCAAAAGUGAAAGACGGUCUUGCUGUCACUUAUAGAUGGAUCCGCGCUGCAUUAGCUAGUUGGUAAGGUAACGGCUUACCAAGGCAACGAUGCAUAGCCGACCUGAGAGGGUGGUCGGCCACACUGGAACUGAGACGCGGUCCAGACUCCUACGGGAGGGAGCAGUAGGGAAUCUUACGCAAUGGGCGAAAGCCUGACGGAGCAACCCCGCGUGGGUGAUGAAGGUCUUCGGAUCGUAAAACUCUGUUAUUAGGGAAGAACAUAUGUGUAAGUAACUGUGCACAUCUUGACGGUACCUAAUCAGAAAGCCACGGCUAACUACGUG
rnacentral:rRNA from 1 species